UACGUAGGGAGCAAGCGUUGUCCGGAAUCAUUGGGCGUAAAGCGCGCGUAGGCGGCCCUGUAAGUCCGUUGUGAAAGUCAAAGGCUCAACCUUUGAAAGCCGAUGGAUACUGCAGGGCUAGAGUCCGGAAGAGGCGAGUGGAAUUCCUGGUGUAGCGGUGGAAUGCGCAGAUAUCAGGAGGAACACCAAUAGCGAAGGCAGCUCGCUGGGACGGUGCUGACGCUAAGGCGCGAAAGCGUGGGGAGCGAACAGG
rnacentral:rRNA from 1 species